AGUCACCUCCUAAUUCAUUUCUAGUCACACCGACUACAAGAGCCUCACACUCACUCUCUCACACCGAAGCAGCCGUCCAUCCACGGUGGUCCUCCGGCUAGGUUUCAGUCAACGGUGGUUCGCCGACGACCAACACUAGUUAUUCGACCACGAUUUGAGCCUGCCCAUGUGUUGGUCCUGUUAUCUGAAGAAAUUUUUGGUUCCCACUGUAAGCUGAAGAUACUUCCAAUAUCCAUUAGAUGCUACCGCGACCGUUACACUGAUCAAUACUGCGAUUUAGAACCAUGAUGUAACAGGUACUUUUGAUGGUAUGUAGUGGAGUUUGCAGACUGAUAAAAUACCCAAAUGGAUUACGACAAUGACAGGUAUGUUGUGACCUUUUUUACUCUUAUUCUUUAAGUGUGAUUUAUAGAUUGUUCUGGAAAUGCGUUGGUUGUGAUCUGUGUUGAUUUUAUGGGUUUAGUUCCUAAAAUGUUGAUUCCGUUGUUGGUUAUUCUUUUGUGUAUUCGUCAAUUUCUUUUGAUUGAAAUGCUGUAUUUGUGAGAUGGGUUCAAUUGAUUUCAUCCCCCUGGCUUCUGGG